rnacentral:rRNA from 1 species
AGAGUUUGAUCCUGGCUCAGAUUGAACGCUGGCGGCAUGCCUUACACAUGCAAGUCGAACGGUAACAGGUCUUCGGACGCUGACGAGUGGCGAACGGGUGAGUAAUACAUCGGAACGUGCCCAGUCGUGGGGGAUAACUACUCGAAAGAGUAGCUAAUACCGCAUACGAUCUGAGGAUGAAAGCGGGGGACCUUCGGGCCUCGCGCGAUUGGAGCGGCCGAUGGCAGAUUAGGUAGUUGGUGGGAUAAAAGCUUACCAAGCCGACGAUCUGUAGCUGGUCUGAGAGGACGACCAGCCACACUGGGACUGAGACACGGCCCAGACUCCUACGGGAGGCAGCAGUGGGGAAUUUUGGACAAUGGGCGAAAGCCUGAUCCAGCAAUGCCGCGUGCGGGAUGAAGGCCUUCGGGUUGUAAACUGCUUUUGUACGGAACGAAAAAGCUCCUUCUAAUACAGGGGGCCCAUGACGGUACCGUAAGAAUAAGCACCGGCUAACUACGUGCCAGCAGCCGCGGUAAUACGUAGGGUGCAAGCGUUAAUCGGAAUUACUGGGCGUAAAGCGUGCGCAGGCGGUUAUGUAAGACAGACGUGAAAUCCCCGGGCUCAACCUGGGAACUGCAUUUGUGACUGCAUGGCUAGAGUACGGUAGAGGGGGAUGGAAUUCCGCGUGUAGCAGUGAAAUGCGUAGAUA